rnacentral:rRNA from 1 species
UGGGGGAUAUUGGUCAAUGGGGGGAACCCUGAACCAGCGACGCCGCGUGAGGGAAGAAGGUUUUCGGAUUGUAAACCUCUGUCCUCGGUGAAGAUAAUGACGGUAGCUGAGGAGGAAGCUCCGGCUAACUACGUGCCAGCAGCCGCGGUAAUACGUAGGGAGCGAGCGUUGUCCGGAAUUACUGGGUGUAAAGGGAGCGUAGGCGGGGAUGCAAGUUGAAUGUUUAAACUAUCGGCUUAACUGAUAGUCGCGUUCAAAACUGCAUUUCUUGAGUGAAGUAGAGGUAGGCGGAAUUCCUAGUGUAGCGGUGAAAUGCGUAGAUAUUAGGAGGAACACCAGUGGCGAAGGCGGCCUACUGGGCUUUAACUGACGCUGAGGCUCGAAAGCGUGGGUAGCAAACAGGAUUAGAUACCCUGGUAGUCCACGCUGUAAACGAUGAUUACUAGGUGUGGGGGGAUCAACCCUUCCGUGCCGCAGUUAACACAAUAAGUAAUCCACCUGGGGAGUACGACCGCAAGGUUGAAACUCAAAGGAAUUGACGGGGACCCGCACAAGCAGUGGAGUAUGUGGUUUAAUUCGACGCAACGCGAAGAACCUUACCAGGUCUUGACAUCCUUCUGACCGCACCUUAAUCGGUGCUUUCCUUCGGGACAGAAGAGACAGGUGGUGCAUGGUUGUCGUCAGCUCGUGUCGUGAGAUGUUGGGUUAAGUCCCGCAACGAGCGCAACCCCUAUCUUCAGUAGCCAGCAGGUAAGGCUGGGCACUCUGGAGAGACUGCCAGGGAUAACCUGGAGGAAGGUGGGGACGACGUCAAAUCAUCAUGCCCCUUAUGAUCUGGGCGACACACGUGCUACAAUGGCGGCCACAGAGUGAGGCAAACCCGCGAGGGGGAGCAAACCACAAAAAGGCCGUCCCAGUUCGGACUGUAGUCUGCAACCCGACUACACGAAGCUGGAAUCGCUAGUAAUCGCGAAUCAGAAUGUCGCGGUGAAUACGUUCCC